GAGGGUGCAACUCAGGGGUAGAGUGUGUGCUUGGCAUGCAUGAGGUCCUGGGUUCAAUCCCCAGCACCUCUC
rnacentral:tRNA from 1 species